rnacentral:lncRNA from 1 species
UUGCAUUCUUGUCAGGACUGAAUGCUCUUAUUAUUAAGCAAUGAAGAAGAAACAAGAUUUUUUUAUCAUGAAAAAAAGUUGGGGUGUUACCUUCCUGUUAUUGAUGACCCAAGAAGGCAGAAGAAAAAGAAAGCAGCUCCUGUAGUUUGUGGAGCAACAGCUGUGGAACACUUUUUUCCAUCCAGAAUUGGUCCAAACCUGCCUGGAAAGCUCGCUGAGAAAACUUCAACUGAGCUACGUGGAUCUUUAUCUUAUUCAUUUCCCAACAGCUCUGAAGCCUGGAGAGGACCCAAUCCCAGAGGACAUCCAUAGAAACAUCACUUUUGACACAGUGGAUCUCUGUACCACGUGGGAGGUUUGCUCAUCAUCCAGAUUACCCAUUUCACGAGGAAUAUUAACAACUGUGUCUGUGGUUGCUCCAGAGUUCUUGCAUUCGGGUUGAUGAUCGAACCACAUCUCGAGGUGCCUGCUUUAUUAGACAUCACUUAGCCUGACCAGUUAUGAUACUAGAGUAGGAAAUAAAAAUCCCUAAACCCAGUCUUUUCCCCA